rnacentral:rRNA from 1 species
GAUGAACGCUGGCGGCGUGCUUAACACAUGCAAGUCGAACGAUGAUGCCCAGCUUGCUGGGUGGAUUAGUGGCGAACGGGUGAGUAACACGUGAGUAACCGGCCCUUGACUCUGGGAUAAGCCUGGGAAACUGGGUCUAAUACCGGAUACGACCAUCUGGCGCAUGUCAUGGUGGUGGAAAGCUUUUGUGGUUUUGGAUGGACUCGCGGCCUAUCAGCUUGUUGGUGGGGUAAUGGCCUACCAAGGCGACGACGGGUAGCCGGCCUGAGAGGGUGACCGGCCACACUGGGACUGAGACACGGCCCAGACUCCUACGGGAGGCAGCAGUGGGGAAUAUUGCACAAUGGGCGCAAGCCUGAUGCAGCGACGCCGCGUGAGGGAUGACGGCCUUCGGGUUGUAAACCUCUUUCAGUAGGGAAGAAGCGAAAGUGACGGUACCUGCAGAAGAAGCGCCGGCUAACUACGUG